GGGAAAAGCAGAUUGAUAUGAUUGAUCCCCUAUGUUGGAUAAGAGGUGACCUCUGAGAAGAAGCACAUGGCCAAGGAGUGAGAACACUGGCUCCAGUGCGGAUGAUCCUCUUCCUGGUUCCCUGACUUCCUCCAUAUGGCAGAGGAUUUGUUAAGCCACUGUUCCUUAGAAGCAGACUAAGGAGUCUUCAAAGACCAGAUCCAAAAUGGAGAGAUCCAGAAGCAGGAAGUCGAAGCAUUCUAAAGAAGAGAUGCCAGUUUUUAACAAAGCCGUUCUGGAAAACAUCUUUGAAAUCAUCACCAGGUCUGGGUUCAGAUAGAGUCGGCUGUGAUGAAAAUAAAUUGAUAUACUGUAAAAAGGACUAGCAGGAUAAUUUAUAUUCAGCAGAAGCUCAAAUACUAAUUCAGAGAGAAGAUUUCAAGAUGAAAUGUAUCCUGGAGUUAAAAAAAAUCUAAUUACCCUGACUACUGCAUUUCUUAGCAAACCACAUUUUACUUUUGUAUCUGAGCUAUGAAGGCAGUGUUCUAGUAGGGGUUUACAGAGUUCUUUUUUCAUUAAAAUCUACAGAUUUUGCAUAUUCUUGAGGAUAAAAAUGAUAAAAUUUUCAGAAAGAUUGAAUCAGGUUGGUUAUUUUUAAUAAGUAUUUC
rnacentral:lncRNA from 1 species